rnacentral:lncRNA from 1 species
GCUUUCAUAGGCCAAUUGCACUCACAAACCUCAUUCGGCUAGUGACACAUUGAAGGAUUUUCGCCAAUAAGUCUCUUUCAUUUUUCUUUCUCUCAGCUCACCAUUGCCUUGUGGUGUCCGUGAGGGUUUUCACUAAUGAGACUCUUUUAUUUUUAUUUCUCUCAUCUUAGAAUCAUCUCAUGGUGCCCGUGAGGGUUUUCACCGAUAAGACUCUCUCAUUUUUAUCUCUCUUAACUUACCCUUGCCUUACGGUACCCGUGAGGAUUUUCACCGAUAAGAAUAUCUCAUUUUUAUUUAUCUCUUGAUUCCUUAUGCUGAGGAAGAAAAGCAGUACCCAAAAUGUGUCACCAUAUACAUUGCAUGCUUAGCCUUAACAUUCUUAAAUAUUGAUCUGAAGGUCUUUCGUUAGUUGUAACUUAGCUUUUGGAUAAGGUUAGAAAGAAAAAAUGGCAUGAGGCCCAAACGACACUUGAAGUGGGGCAGGACUUACAACUUUUGGAAUAGACUCAAAUAAUAAGGAUUAACUCAUGCCCCAAUUUCUUUUGGCUGGGUGAUUCUAAAUUGUUUAUUUGGCUAGACCGAGCCCAGAGUGGGGCAGCCUACAAAUCUCACCCCGAGAAAGGAGAAUCAGGUCACGCGUAGUUCCAAC